UGGGGUGUAGCCAAGUGGUAAGGCACGGGUCUCUGAAACCUGGAUACGCUGGUCCGAUCCCAGCCACCCCAGCCA
rnacentral:tRNA from 1 species